rnacentral:snoRNA from 1 species
AUUGCUUCUUACAGGUGAACUCUCUUAUAUCUUUAAUUGGGGAUGUUCAUGUUUCAGAAGCAUAGAUAAAAUAGAAAAAUUUCUUGCCAGUAUUAAACAACAUGGUGUGCUCAUCUUCAUUGCCCCCAUGUUACCUGUCUCUUGGCAUAUCU